rnacentral:rRNA from 1 species
GACGUAGGGCGCGAGCGUUGUCCGGAUUUAUUGGGCGUAAAGAGCUCGUAGGCGGCUUGUUGCGUCGACUGUGAAAACCCGCGGCUUAACCGCGGGCUUGCAGUUGAUACGGGCAGGCUAGAGUUCGGUAGGGGAGACUGGAAUUCCUGGUGUAGCGGUGAAAUGCGCAGAUAUCAGGAGGAACACCGGUGGCGAAGGCGGGUCUCUGGGCCGAUACUGGCGCUGAGGAGCGAAAGCGUGGGGAGCGAACAGG